rnacentral:lncRNA from 1 species
GUGCUGGCGCCCAGCCGCUGGACGCGGUAGAAGGGCAGACAGAACGCAGAUCUGGGGUUGGGGCUGUUGCAGUGUCCGCCGGAGCGGUUUGGGAAGUGCACGGGGCGACGAUGGCGGCGGAGCGGCAGGAGGCGUUGAGGGAGUUCUUGGCGGUGAAGGGCACUGAGGAGGUCAGGACCCUUUCUUCCUGGAGUCGGCUGGCUGGGACCUGCAGAAGCUGACUGUGGAGGUGAACAACCCUGGUGUGGUGUCCUCGGUGAGGGAAGAUAUUCCAUUCCAGAGGAGGUCUAUACAUCUGGGAGGCCGCCAUCCAAAAGAAAGCCACUCUGUUGGUGUAGGGAGUGACAGCUACAUUCUCCUGUGCCUACUGCAUAACCAAAAAUGAAGAACUACUGUUUCCAAGCUGCCCUGGUGUGCCUGAGCAUGCUGUACCACAGCCAGGCGUUUGCCCUGGAGUGACGAAGCCACCUGCAUCCUUCUUUCCAUGGACACCAUGAAAAGGGAAAGGAGGGGCAGGUGUUGCAAUGCUCCAAGAGAGGUUGGAUCUGGAACCAGUUUUUUGUGAUAGAUGAGUACACUGGGCCCGACCCUGUGCUGGUGGGCAGGGCAUGUACCAGAUGUCUGUUUCAGAAGCAGCUGUCCCCAGGGAAGGAAGUAGGAAGGGUGAAGGCUGAAGACCCAGACAUUGGAGAAAAUGGCUUAGUCACAUACAAUAUCGUUGAUGGAGACGGCAUAGAACUGUUUGAAAUCACAACAGACUGAAACACAGGAUGGUGUGGUGAAGCUGAAAAAGGACCUUUUAGCCCCAAACACACUCACCACUUGGAGGGAAGCAAAAAUUCCAAAGAACACAGUUUGGGAAACACUGACCAGUAAGAAAGUCUCCAGUUUUGUGCCAGGAGACUGUGAAGAGUCCCUCAUCCUAGCUACCUGGAAGCCGGUAUUCUGCUAGCAUUCUUCAGAUGAAGAUGUAGAACACUCAGCUCCUCCUGCAUCAUGUCUGCCUGGAUGCUGCCAUUUUCUCACCUUGAUGAUACUAGAUUGAACCUCUGAACCUGUAUCUUCUCCACUUCCUUCCUUGUCCCCUCAAAGAUCUUGACUAACAUCAAGGCAACACCUUCUUUGUAGAUGAAAGAGCAGUUGGGCUGUCAGCUGCUCAAACCGUGUUGUUGUGCAACCUCGUUUGAAAACUAUGUGAGGAAGAAUAAACAACCGUGAAUGUGGAGUCAAGGAGACCUGAGGGUGAAGCCCAGCUUGGCUGCCUGCCUGCUGUGGACCUUGGACAAAUUGCAUGGCAAUUCUGGGUCCCUGAUCUCCUCUUCUGACACACCAUGACCUGGUGUAAUGUGGGACGCCCGACUUGCCUGCAAGUAAGACGCCACAACAGGAUCCUUCUGCAACACGUUUAUUGGGAGAGCAUGGACUGAGUAGGCGAAAGACCCCGAGCCCCAGAAAUGGCGCUGCUUAUAUAGGCCCACGAGUGACGUGUCCAUACCUGAUUGGUUAUGCUACCAGUACCUCAUUAAUAUGCGUCGGGCCAGGCAGUGACUCAGCAAAAAACUCUUAUGCACAUGCUUACAUUGGUUGUUUAUCCAUUAUCAUGGGUGGUGGCCAGUGGUAGCCAGCGCCAUCUUAUAAUGGUGUUUGCGGCUUCCCACAGUGUAAGGAGUUGCAUCUGUAUGAAAUCAUCUCCAUUUGGUUAUUCACUGGGGAGUCAGUGUCAGGUGGAUCCCUGGGGCUUGCUGACUGGCCCGCCUAGCUCACUGAUUAGGUACACCACUGGGGGAUCCGCUCUUAAAAUGAAGUGGGCGGUGCUUGAGGAGUGAAAUCUGAGCUGUCCUCCAGCCUCCACACACAUGUGCACCACACACAAGCACUGGUCAUUUGGCCAGUGAGAUACUUCACUCCCAAGAUUUGGAUACUAGCAUAUAUUUCUAAAGUUGAACAAAUAUCCACUAAAUGGGACUUCCGAUUGAGAAUACUGGAGCCACACUGUCCAAUUUAUGACUACCAAUACUGGAUAAUCCAUUAGAAUCUAGACUUUCCAACUCAAGACUAUCAAAUACAGGAUAGUCUACCCAUAUUGGUCAAUACGUGGUCUAUUUUAUCCCAUUCACUUGGUGUGGAGUGAUGGAUGCCCGAAGUCACGCACUAAUAUUCCAAAAAUAAAAAGCACACACUCACAGAUGAACUUUGUGUAGCUUAUGAAGUGCUGAAAAUAUUCAAAUUGUUUUUGACAUUUCAAGACCAAGAAGUUUAAUACAGAAACUUGGGUUUCCAGUUUACUGGACAACAUUGUCCUCAUGGGGACCCAAUUCCCAUUUUGAUGCAACUGUUUGGGGCUGAGUCUCAAGUGUCCUCUCCAGAAGUGAGUAUAUGUUUUCUCACUGUGAUGGUCACCUGGUUCCUUUGAGCAUCUGAGUGUAUGACCCCACCCCUGGUCUGUGCUAACCUAUGAAAAUCUAGGAACUAGCUAGCUUAAGCUUGUCUGGGAGAGAGCACUCAAGGAAGCCAUGACAAUGUGUGUCAUCAUACACUGACUGAGAACCAUUUAUUCAGAUAGGUUGCUCCUCCUGGCUCCUAUAUGGCAGGGUUAGCCCUUUAAAGCAGUGUUUCUCAACCUGUUCUCGACCCCGUUGGGGGGUCACAUAUCAGAUAUCCUGCAUACAUACCAGAUAUUUACAUUGUGAUUCAUAACAGCAGCAAAUGUACUGUAUGAAGUAGUAAUAAAAUAAUGUUAUGGCUGGGGGUCACCACAACAUGAGGAACUGUAUUAAAAGGCUACAGCAUUAGGAAGGUUGAGGACCACUGCUCUAGAGACUGUUGGGCUUCUAGCUGGGUUUUGUGGCUGCUCGUAGGUUCCGGGUCGCAUGAUCUAACAGUCAACUCCUCACUUUGGAUGUCCUUUCUGAUCCAGAAGACAUCAGAGGCCAUACUUAGUGAAUUGAACUAGGUAUCAUGUAAGAAGUGGCGGAGAAAGCCUAGAGUCUCAGUGAAUGUGUAUUGUUGACAUCAGAUAAAGACAUGUUGUCACAGACCUCAGAAUCUCAGACCUAUGGAGAAAAUGGCAAUGUCUCCUCUAAGGGGAGAGGCUCAGAGGAAAAUGGCAAAGCCUUCCUCUGGACCAAAUGUAGAUAUUGAGAGUGUGCACAGGAAAUGUCCACUGUAGCUUUCUCUCCCUGGAUAUUUAUAGUCUGAAGACUGUUCCCCUAUAAAGACCAUUCCUACUAAGAUUAGGUAAACCUGUCUACUUGAUCCAGCUGUAUACCAUACACCCUGUCUCCUUUGUUUAUCUGCACCUACUAACCCCACUUCCUUGUUCAGCCAUAUGCACUCACCCUGCCUCUCUGUUUAUAUAAUAAAAACAUGUUUCCAUUA